AUAUGGAGAGAGAAGUUGUGUUUGAGUCCAGCUGGCGGUGAAGAUCUGCUUCGUGUUAAGAGCAGGAGGCGGCGUGAUCCUUCAGAUGCCUGAAACAUAAAAGCCAACCUGUCAGAGAGACGAGACACACGGAAAGUGACCAGUAGACGCUUUUGGUUUGGAGUGCAGCUCCAGAAGCCCCGGCUUGCACCUCCACUCCCCAGCCGGUCGAGGCAGAUGGCCGCCCGUCCUGAGCCUGGUUCUGCCGGAGGUUUCUUCCUGUUGAAAGGGAGUUUUUCCUCCCCACUGUCGCCCAGCUCUUGCUCACGAUGGGGGAUUGCGUCGAAGAAUUCAUGCAAUCAGCUGGUUUCUUUAGAUAAAUAAAUUGAGUUGGCUUGAAA